rnacentral:rRNA from 1 species
AGAACGAACGCUGGCGGCAUGCCUAAUACAUGCAAGUCGAACGAAUGCCCUUCGGGGUGUUAGUGGCGCACGGGUGCGUAACGCGCGGGAAUCUGCCCUUGGGUUCGGAAUAACAGUUGGAAACGACUGCUAAUACCGGAUGAUGACGUAAGUCCAAAGAUUUAUCGCCCAGGGAUGAGCCCGCGUAGGAUUAGCUAGUUGGUGGGGUAAAGGCCUACCAAGGCGACGAUCCUUAGCUGGUCUGAGAGGAUGAUCAGCCACACUGGGACUGAGACACGGCCCAGACUCCUACGGGAGGCAGCAGUAGGGAAUAUUGGACAAUGGGCGAAAGCCUGAUCCAGCAAUGCCGCGUGAGUGAUGAAGGCCUUAGGUUGUAAAGCUCUUUUACCCGAGAUGAUAAUGACAGUAUCGGAGAAUAAGCUCCGGCUAACUCCGUGCCAGCAGCUGC